GUAUCAGCAAGCUCUUUACAGUAGACCUUUGCUUAGGUCAGGAAUGCAAUGUGUCUCCUGGAACAGAUGAUGCUUUCUUGGAGAUCGUCCUUUUAUUUGCAAAACCAGUCGUUGUCUUGUGAUGACUUUAGUUGUGGCAUUCCCUGUUCUACCCAUCCAGUUUGCAUCUCUGGUUUGUGUUUUCCAGGGCCCAGCAGCAAUUGUGGAGGUACUUGCUGCGCAUGAUGCUGCAGCCCUCUGCUCCUUCUUGCAUGUGCCAGCUCACUGCAUCCUCCACCCUGCUCUAAGGGUUUCCCAUGCUGAAUUAUGCUGGUUUUGGAGCUUGAUUCUGUUUGCUAUCCCAAGCAAAAAAGGGGAAUGUCCGGCAGAGGCACCCCAUGUGGGUGGUAAAGUUGCCCGCGACCCGUCCCCAGGCCGUGCAGAACUGGAAGUGCUGCCUGCGCGCAGCUGCAGCCCUCAGCGUGCAGGAGCCUCUGCAACAGCUCCGCUUCCCCGAGAGGGGACUUUGCCAGAGGAAUGGCACUGGCAUGGAUUCAGCAGCCAUACGCCUACUCUCGCUUCCUACGCACCCUUUUGUACUGUCACCGUGGAUCAGCGUGGGAGCACAGCUUCACAGUAACUGAGAUCUUCAUGAUUUUUAAUGUGUUUAUUCUCCUGUGGCCCUCACGCCAAAGUUUUCCAGCAGCUUUCAAUUUUAAUCACCAAAAUGGCUUCACAUCUGUGCAGUGGGAGAAGAUUCUCCUGUGUAGGUUGUUUGCUGAAAGCUUUGGGGCUUACGGGAUAAAACUUAUCUAGAUGCAUCAGUUAGUUUUAUUAUGGUAGUAAACUUGCUCUUGGCAAAUGUGUCGUCGCAACAGAUGAUAUUCUUCCCUUUGGUAGGAAACUAGUGAGAAGCUGCAAAUCAUUUGUAGUCUAUAUUGAUUUAUCAGGUACUUAAGGUCUCACUUUGAGCUGUCUGCGCACAGCUGUCCUUCCAUGCAGCAGGCAGACAAGUAGUUUAAGUGCCUUCAGCAAAAAGUGCUGCCCCUGGAUUUAGGAGAAAGCCUCUGACAUUCAGAACCGAUCGGCUCUUUUAUGAGGCGAAUGGAUAAAGACACAGCUUACACUGUUGCAAUCAUAACAUAAGAAAAAAACCAAAACAGCUGAUCUUUUGAAGUUUGUCCAAGCGGUGUCCCUCCUGGUAACAUUGAAAAACUUAGGCUGUUAUGGUGGUGGGCAGAAGUAUAUGAUGUACGAAUGUGCUUAGAAAUUUUAAACAUAUCCUUAUGAAAAUAAAGUAUUCCAUGAUGUCA
rnacentral:lncRNA from 1 species